GACGAACGCUGGCGGCGUGCUUAACACAUGCAAGUCGAACGAUGAAACCUAGCUUGCUAGGUCGAUUAGUGGCGAACGGGUGAGUAACACGUGACUAACCUGCCCCUUUCUCUGGGAUAACGCUCCGAAAGGAGUGCUAAUACCGGAUACUCACACCUAGGCACCUGCCUUGGCUUGGAAAGCUUUUCGGAAAGGGAUGGAGUUGGGGCCUAUCAGCUUGUUGGUGAGGUAAGGGCUCACAAAGGCGACGACGGGUAGCCGGCCUGGGAGGGCGACAGGCCACACUGGGACUGAGACACGGCCCAGACUCCUACGGGAGGCAGCAGUGGGGAAUAUUGCACAAUGGGCGCAAGCCUGAUGCAGCGACGCCGCGUGAGGGAUGAAGGUCUUCGGAUUGUAAACCUCUUUCAGUAGGGACGAAGCGAAAGUGACGGUACCUAAAGAAGAAGCACCGGCUAACUACGUGCCAGCCGCCGCCGUAA
rnacentral:rRNA from 1 species